GUGCCUAGUAGGUAGCUCCUAUACUAAAAUCGGACCCAUACAGAGAAGAUUAGCAUGGGCCCUGAGCAAGGAUGACAUGCAAAUUCGCAUCUUUUU
rnacentral:snRNA from 1 species